UACGAAGGGGGCUAGCGUUGCUCGGAAUCAUUGGGCGUAAAGGGCGCGUAGGCGGGUUCUUAAGUCAGGGGUGAAAGCCCAAGGCUCAACCUUGGAAUUGCCUUUGAUACUGAGGGCCUUGAGACCGGAAGAGGUCGGCGGAACUGCGAGUGUAGAGGUGAAAUUCGUAGAUAUUCGCAAGAACACCAGUGGCGAAGGCGGCCGACUGGUCCGGUUCUGACGCUGAGGCGCGAAAGCGUGGGGAGCAAACAGG
rnacentral:rRNA from 1 species